rnacentral:rRNA from 1 species
UCGAGUCGGCCUGCGCGGAAGAUGUAACGGGGCUAAACCAUGCACCGAAGCUGCGGCAGCGACACUAUGUGUUGUUGGGUAGGGGAGCGUUCUGUAAGCCUGUGAAGGUGUACUGUGAGGUAUGCUGGAGGUAUCAGAAGUGCGAAUGCUGACAUAAGUAACGAUAAAGCGGGUGAAAAGCCCGCUCGCCGGAAGACCAAGGGUUCCUGUCCAACGUUAAUCG